GGCAUUAGUUACAAUGUACAUGUUCACGAUCUUUGAAUAUGGUAGAAACUAGAAAUGUUUGAUAACAGCACUGAAAAAGCGUGAGACAGAGGAGGGCAGCUUGGUUGAAUCAGUGUUCCUUCAACGGCACUACAAUGGCAGAAAACACAAUUGAUUUUGGAGAGUUAUCGACUGAUGAAAGCUUAAAGAAAUCUGUGACUGAGUUGCAUGACAGUGUGAAGAAAUUUGGUGAUUUCCUACAGUUGGCGUGUGAGAAAGACGUUUACAGUAAUCUAAGUACAGAGGACCGUGUGAAAUAUGAUUUAUUUCUUUCUUACUCACUCAGUACACUUUUUUGGACCUAUCUGCGAACCCAGGGUCUUGAUCCUACCAAGCAUGCUAUUAAAGGAGAAAUUGAAAGAGUUCGUGGAUAUAAUAUACGAGCACGACAGAUACAUGAAAGGCGUACCAUAAUGCCACGUAUUGACAAGGCGGCAGCAGGUCGCUUCGUCAGAAGUGGCUUGUGGCAGCCAAGGUCUGCUGAAGAACGACAGCAAGAGGAACAACCGCCUGAUGAAUCAGUAGACUCUGUUAUGUAACAAAUUGUCCACUUAUGUAUAUACUUCAGUUGAGUCUUUAAAGUUAUUAUUUAUGUAUUGUUGAUAUUUUAUUAGACUAAAGAGUAGUUAGUCUAAUUUCUUUUGUACACUGAAAACUACUGUUGACAAUUCCAUCAUCAAUACUGUCACCUCAUAAUGUAAAUUGUUCAUACUUGCCUGUUUUUCUGUAAACAUGAAACUGUAGGAACUGCUGAGGUGUAAGUAAAAAGGAAACAACCUACUCUAAA